CCUCUGCGCAUGUGCGGGGAGCGUUUCGGUUGGUGGGGAGAAGCUGCUGGGUUUCCCAAGCAGCACUGAGGAUCAGAAAUUGGUGGAUUUCUCUGCAGUCCAGGGGAGACUUAGGAGGAGCCUCAUAGUGAGAAUGAAUGUGUGUGUGGCAUUGCUGUCUGCAUCCACUGCACCUUGGGCUCUGGCACUCACUUUUACCAGACAGCCAAAGAAACUUCUGACUGUUGCUAAUAGGAAUCCGGCAUUCUUGACAGCAGAGAAUAACUUGGUUGCAUUGUAUUCAAGGAGCAACCGGAAGCUGGAGAUGAGCAAAGCUGCGAUAGAGGAGGCCACACAUCUGAACAGCUCCAUGGCAAUACUGAGUACCAUGAUGGUCAUCAAAAGCACAGAGGGUGUGUGAUCAAUUUAUAUUUGUGUGAUUUGAUAGUAUCACCAUCAAGGAAUGUACUGCUGACCACACUACAAGGAACUCGGAGAGGGAAUUUACCUCAGCUAUUGUCUGUGAUUAAUCUGGAACAUUGAUUCCAAA